rnacentral:lncRNA from 1 species
GAUUGGCCCAUUUAAAACCAAUCCCAAUCCAGGAAGUAGAGGAGCAGGACCCUGGGCAUGCUAGGGGAUGCAGUUGCCCCCAGCCUCAACACUUCAAAACCCAUACUAAAAAGAUAUGAGGCCUUCUAUUUUUUUUUCUUCUGGUAUCAGGGAAGCUCAAUGUUUCUUCUGUUCAUUUGAUUUCACAAGUGCCCAGAUUUUCACAACGAGAGGUGGCUUUGGUCACCAUAGUGGUUUCUUAGAGACACAUGGACCUCCUCUUUGUGUACUUGUUCUAGUGCCCUUUCUUCCCUUCUCCUCCUUCCAGCUUCCUAACAUAUAG